AGUCGCUGAAAAUAGCGACUGGAGUCCGAUUCAAUGACUCGAAUCGACCUACAGUAUGUGGAUCGGGUGCCCACACUAAGUUGGGCGUCAAUAUGGUGAACUGAGGGGAACCUUCGUCCACCAGGUUGAAUAAAGAGGAACGAACCGGGCCGGCAUGGAAACAUAGCAGACAAAAGUUCCCGCGUCAAACAGUGGUGCGAUAGCACUUGUGAAUAGGAGGCAU